GGUCUCUCUAGUGUUGAGCUUCUUUUGAGAGCCUGGGUCUUUGGAGGUGGAAAACACAAAGAUUGACCUGAUGGACUACUAGUUUUAGGUACAUCUCAUACAGGGAGAAUGAUGGCAAGAAUAGCUCAACACUCAACUUGCUGGACAACCCCACAGCCCUGUUCCUUGCCAUGGUCCCCCAUGUUACACUGGAAUCAGCCUUGCCAGCGUGCUCAGCCUGACAUUGAUGUGCUUUGCUUACACCUCAUUGCGUGCCAGCAGUGACGUGGGAUUUGCUUUUUUGGGCUUUGGGAAAGAGGUGUGAAGAAGAGAGGGACCAAAAUGAUGGGAGUCACGGACUGACAAGUGAUGUCUUACCCAUAUUCCAAACAGUCCUCUGGAAUGUUCAGAGAACCCCACGCAAGGAGUCUCGAUCCGCUCCUUGGAGUCCCCCUGAAAGCCUAAAACAAGCUUUUCAUCUCUGCCCAGUGCUUCACCUGGUUCUGAAUAAUUUUUUUUCUUCCUCUUAUAUCUAUUACACUAAAAGUUACUUUCAAAGGAAAUUGUUGCAUCAACAAGCACUCAGAAAACAUAAAUCAACUGUGUUCUCUUUGCAGCCCUUGAUUUACCCCCUACACAACAGGCUUUAUUUGCAGUGUUGCAUAAUAUAUUUCCCACGGUGCUGUGGCCUUAUUCUGCACGUGGAAAGGGCAAUACUUAAC
ensembl:lncRNA